rnacentral:lncRNA from 1 species
GUUAUUAGAAAAGGCUCCAAGCCUUCUUACACGACUUUUUGCAAAGCUCCAUUCCUUUUCAAAGGACUUCACCCAUUCAGUAUCUCAUUUGACAACCUCUUUAUUAGAAAUUUAGGUAUGAUUAUGAAGAACUACGCCUACUUUUAGGUAAGGAAUGUAAGGCACAAUUGGUUUUUAAUUUCCUUUUUAGGGUCAACAAUGUCCAAUUUACCCCUAUGUGCUAGGCAAGUUUGAAGUACAUUGUGCAUAAAAUAGAGAUCCUGGUCUCAUAGAAGUUACCACUGAGAUCACAGGGUGAGUGGGUAAGAUUUGUAGAGAUUGAUCCCAUUUUCAGAUUUAUAGUUUUGUUUUCAUUACCUUCUGAUCUCUCUUAAUCAGAUAUACAAUUCUCAAAACUGAGGGGAAAGUAUUAACUAUGCCAUGAGCAGGCAAGGCAGAAAAAGGACAUUAGUUUUUGGUGUUAACUGUCUAACAUGAGGGUUGUAAAUAAUUUCUUAGAGAUAAUAAAGACAUUACAGAUGUAAUUAAACUAUUUCUUAUAGACUUAUGACUGGUAUAUUGCCAGGGUAAAAAGCAAGGCAAAAAGUGUCAUCUAAGUUUUCACUUUAAUUUUUUUUUAACAACUACUAUAAUCCUGGCUCUGGAGGUAGUGAUAAACAACUGUCAUAGGCCUGGUCCCUGCCACCCUCCAUUUUUAACUAAUGGUAGAGUCAGACAUUUAAAAGUAAGUCCCUCUGCUUUGAAAGUUGAUAGUUAACUAUACUUAUCAAAACACCUAACUUUGAGCACACAUUACUUUUACAAUAAAAAACUAAAUAAUUUGGGUAUGCUGGCUAGUACAAGUCACCACAUGGGAAAACAAUCAUAGUUUAAAAGAGCUUGGAAGAUGUAAUUACAGGAUUAUUUGCAGAACACUGCAUGAGCUUGCAUUCUGAUUUCAUGUCAUAACUCCAUGAUUGAAGGCUUCAAAAUCAGAAUCAAAUUUAGAUCUCCCACUUGGAGACUCUGGUAAUCAGAAUCUUCUGUCACUGAGUCCCAGACGAUUUCAAAUACAUUACACUCCACCAGCAAGGUCAGAGUAUGAGGAAAACAGUAUGAGUUUUAUUUUUCUCGUUCUUAUCUUUUCUAAGGAAGUUUAAGAAUUCUUCCCAGGUCAUUAAAAAAAACUCAGUAGGGGCUUCCCUGGUGGCGCAGUGGUUGAGCGUCCGCCUGCCGAUGCAGGGGACACGGGUUCGUGCCCCGGUCCGGGAAGAUCCCACAUGCCGCGGAGCGGCUGGACCUGUGAGCCAUGGCCGCUGAGCCUGCACGUCCGGAGGCUGUGCUCCGCCACGGGAGAGGCCACAACAGUGAGAGGCCCACGUACCAC